GCUGAAACACCGGUUCUCGUUCGAUCACUGAUACCUUAAGUCAUCGUAGAGCCAGGUCAGUACUUAGAUGGGGGACCGCUUGGGAACACCUGGUACUGUAAG
rnacentral:rRNA from 1 species